rnacentral:lncRNA from 1 species
UUAAAAUAUGUGAUAUAUAUUUUAAUUCAGAAAAAAAAAAAUUUAAAUCUUAGAACCUUAUAAUAAGGACCAGAGGGCAGUACUGAAAAUCGUUUUGUGUAAUAAGAUGAAAAUUCAUUUAAAUUUAGAAAUAAGUGAGAUCUUGGUUUAAGACUAAAAGACAAUAGCAUGCGUUUUUGUGUAUUUAUCUUAUGUUUAGGUUUUUUAAUAAAAAAUAAUUUCAAUAAAAUAAAUAAUCUAUUAAAUUAUUGUUGUUAUUGUUAUUAUUUUUAAUAAUUCAAAAAUCAUUUAUAAUAUAAUAAUAUUAAAUUAUCAAAACAAAUAAUUUAAAUAAAAUAUUUUAUCAGAUUAAGGGGUCAUUUGGCAAAUCUGAAUCUAAAGUUGAUGAACGAUUAAUAUAUCUGAAUUGAUUAGUUAUCUGAAUACUGAAUGAAUAAUCUCAUUUGAUAAAAAUAUAUUUUAGAAAUCUGAAUCAUAAUAAAUUUUAUUUUGAUCUUUAAAUUUUAAUAAAAUUAUCACUUGACAUAAUAAUGUUAAAUAUAAAAGAACCAUUUUGAACCAAUUAUAAUAUAAAUUAAUCAAUAAAUAUUAUAUUAUAUACACAUAUAUAUGGGUGGAAUAAUAAAAUCAAAAUUAAUCAAUAUAUUUAAAAUAAAAACAAUAUUACACGAAUAUGCUUAGAUUUUUGUGUGUUUUUAAUUAUAUUUAGAUACUUUAUAAAGAAAAAUAAAAUAAAACAAAAGUAGGUGGAUACAGUGAAAGCAGAGGGAUACAGUGCAGGGUUAUUAGCUGAGCGCUACAGCCAGUCAAUUGUAUAUGACUCGGUCAGCAACUGUAUUGAUUCAUUCGGCCACAUCCAGCAAGCCAAAAACCGUAACAAACAAACUUAUUAAACUGAAUCGUUCAAUUCAUAUCUAUUCAGCCCUUUCAGCAGCAAACAAAUGGCCCCUAAAUCACCGGAGCUCAAGUCAUGAUUUUAAACUUUGAAGUUUGGAACAAAUAGUAUCAUUGGGCCUAGGCCUGAAUUGUUUUUAACGGGUGGAUCAAAAGGCUGCCUUGUCAGUGAAACAGAUCACACAAGGCAAACCACUCACUAUUUUAGUCAAGACUGUUUCUUGAAACUUUUCAUGGGCCUAGUCGGGAUUUCCAAUUGGGAAUUUUCUUAUUAAUUGAGCCUGAUAUAAAUUCAGAGAAGAAAUUGUCAUGCUUUAAUUUCCAGCUUUCCAUGGAAUACAAAAAUACUUAAAAGUAAAUAAAACAAAAGACGUGGCAAAAAAAAAAAGAUAAGAAAAUGCAUUAGAAUAUAAAAAUGUUAUUACGUAUGUAUUUAGGUACGUCAUUUAAGUAUGUAAUACAAAGUAAUGAUAAUUUUAUUAUUUAGAAUAUACUAAAUAAUCCCAUAAAAUUCAUUGUUUUAUGAAGUUCAAAAUAUUCCAUCAUCAUCAGCAUUUUAUACCAUCACAUUUUAAUAAAUUCUUAACCAUUCUAAUUGAAUAUCAUUGAAUUUUUAAAUAUAAUUUAAAAUCCUAAUUGAAUACCACCUGAUUUUAUAGUAUAAUUUAAAUUUUUAAUUGAAUGUCUUCAUACAUUUUUUUAAAUGUGAUUUGAACACACCUGUUUUGACAAAUAAAUAAAGAAUUUUCCAAAUUUCAAUUGAAUACACACCUUUCUAAACCAAAUUAGUAAUAAGAAGUAUCAAUCCUUAAAUUAUUGUCCAUGUUAGGCCUGUAAACGGAUCGGAUUUGGAUCGGAUCUAGCUAAAUCCAUAUCCUAAUCCAUUUAAAUUUAUCGGAUUCGGAUCGGAUCGGAUCAGGAGUCGGAUAUUUUACAAGUCAAUCCAUAUCUGGUCCACUCGGAUCAUGGAUAAUCGGAUCGGAACCCCGAUCCACAAAAAAUUAUGAAAUAUAUAUUUUUACCGUGAACAAUGUUUUAACUUCCAUUAAAAAAAGUGAUAUUUUCUAACUAUAUUAAUUCAUAAACUUUAGCGUAAUAGGUAAAAAAAAACUAAUAAAGAUAAAAACUUUGUUGGUUGUUCCUAUAAAAACUUCAACACAGAAUUUAUCAAGUAAAUAGAAAAAUAAUAGAAAAAUAAUAAAUAAGUUGCUUAUUACUUUUGGUGGAAGCAAAUUAUGAUUUGCUCCUUUAUUAAUAAGGAUUAAAAUUGAUAAAUAUGUCUUAAAUACAGAACCAGGUGAUUGAGGAGGUUUUAAGUGAAAGAGUUAGCUACUGUGUUUAUACUCACUCUGCAUAAAAAAAGAGUGAUUAUUAGAUUAACCGGAUAACAAGAGUGAUAGCCAUGUCAAGAAUUAGGAGCCGACUGAUCGAUUAUAAGAAAAUAUGAUUUAGGGUUUUGUCUUGUAUCUUUAGAAAUUUUUAUUUUGUAUGUAAUAUAUUAAUAAUAAUAUAUUAUAUUAUAAUACAAUAUAAUAUAUAAUAGUAUAUAAUAUAGUUAAGCAUGAAUCGGAUCGGAUCGUUAACAGAUCGGAUUUGAUCAUAUCUAUAUCCAUUCUUUAUCGGAUCAGAUUAUUAGCAGAUCGGAUUUUUUUAAUAAAGAUCCAUAUCCAUUUGUUUCACUACGUAUCGGAUCGGGUCGGAUCGGAUAUCCGAUCCAUUUACAGGCCUAGUCCAUCUACAAUAAAAGAGAAAGGGAGUGCGAGAUUUUGUUGUGAACUACGUAUCUUCAAUUUUGUAGGAUUUUUAUUAUUGAACAUUCCAUCUCAGCUGAUUUGAAUCACGAUCCCUGUCAUUGCUAGAUCUUGUUAAGAGUUGCGUGAAACAUGAAAAUCAUCUCAGAUUUAUAACUAGCUGCUUUCCAACGACCUGAAUGCAAGUCUACCAAACAAAAGAUUUGAGGAUGUAGCACGAACCAAGGAGAGAUAAUUUAAUACUUUGUCCGACCCAUUUUAGUUGUCACAUUUCUAUUUUUGUUAGUCAAAUUGAUUAAUUUUUUAUCAGAGAUUAUAAAUCAUUUUUUCAUUAUUUUAAAAAAUUGAAAAUUAUAUUUUAAAAUAUAUUAAAAGUUAUUUCCGAUGAUAUAUAUUUUUUAUUUUUUUAAUUAAUAAAAUAUUAAUAAAUCUCAGUCAAAUUUUGAUCAAUUUAACCGGUACAAAAUCAAAAGCGGCAACUAAAAUGGGACAGAGGAAGUCCAUUCUCAUUCCGUCAAGUUUUAAGAACAUAGAACAACAAUACAGAUGCACCAAAGUGCUGAAAUCUACGUCAUAAUGUGAAGUGACGUUUUAAUAUACAUAGAAAUUGACUUCGACUAAAAUCCCGGAAAAAUUGUGACCAUAAAUCUGUGUUCUAAAAAAUCUCGAUUUAAUCGAUUAAUCUCUUACAAAUGAUCGAUUGAUCCGAUUAAUUUUUAUAAUUUUUUCUUAAUCGAAAUAUAUAUAAAGACUUAACAAAUUAAAAUAUUAUAUUACUUUAAAUAUGAAUAAUUGUAGAAUUUAUGAUAUUAUAAAUAUAUAUUUGUUAAUAAAUAAUUAAUAUAAUAAUAAUUAAACAUUAAUAAAUAUUUUAAUAUCAAAACACAUCCGGUUUUCAUUCCAAUUGAUCUCCGAUUUCUCAUUAAUCCUACAUCGGUCAUCGAUUUCUGAUUUUAUAUAACAUUGCUGUGAAUUCCGGAAUGCAGCUUAACUGAAAAUAUAAUUUUAUUGCAAUAUCGAAUUUAAACAAACUUCGGGCUCUCUCUCUGUCUCUUUUUUUUUUCUUUUUUUUUUCGGUCACAUGUUGAUCCAACAAGACCACGAAACAGAUAUAAAGAUGAGGAAAUAUCUAAGGUGUGGUUCGUCGUGGAGGAUGCUAAUGGCCGACAAGCACAUCUUUUAUUACUCUAACUUGCCUCUACAUCCCCAUAAGCCUUUUCUUCUUUUCAAAAGAUGAAAAAUAUAGGGCCUUGCAAUUUUGCAAAUUCUGAGAGCAACUUCGCACCAUUCAAGAGUCAAGACCCAUCGGCCAUGCCUACUCACUUUUAACUUUGUGAACUUUAACAUCUCCUCGGAACUCAAAGAUAUCAUGUCGAAAACAUCGCGUAGAGCUGUAAAAUGUAAGUUUCGGAGUCUAUGUGAUGCAUGACUCGAAGAUCUCGUGUCGAAAACAUGCAUGAGGUGAAAUUCGUGACAGCGGAAUGUGGACUAAUCCUUCCGCCCUUAUUCUAGUGAUCCACGUGAUUGUCACUAUUUUUAAUUACGGUUUUAAUACAUUCUACUAAGUUAAAUUAAUGUAAUUCAAGCAGGUCGAGUUCAAACUCGUUAGGUUUAAUAACACCCUGCCCGGCCCUAGCUUGUAUAUGAGCCGAGUUUGAACAAGAUUUCAUAUCCGUUUAAUUAAACAGACCGUCUUGACUCGUAAAAUUAAACGGACCGUCUUGACUCGUAAACUUAAACGAGUCGAGUUUUUAUAAAAGUAUAGACUCGAUUAAAUGUAAAAUUAACAAGCUGACUUGACCUACUUGCUAAAAUAGUAAAACUAGCUAGUUUGGCUAACUAAACAAACUGACUCGACUUGACUCGUGAGAUAAAACGAGUCGAAUUUGAAUAUAGAUUUUGACUUGAUUAAGUUAAAUGAGUCAAGCCGACUCAAUUAAUCUCGACUACCAAUUAUGUCCGGUUCAAACCUCGACUCGCUCAACCCGAACUCUAAAAAAAUGUAUGGACCACAUAAUCUCGUAAUUUAUUUUUUGUAUAUAAAAUUUGAUCUCGAUAUUAACAGAUCAUCUAAUUUGGGAUGAAUGGAAGAAUAUCGCUUCGUACUUCAUUUAGCUUGUCAUAUUUAAUUAUAACAAGUAUCGAGAUAAUAAAUUUAAUUUUUAUUUUCUUUGAGGGAAAAAGUUAAAAAUAUGAAUAUGGAUGAUCCAACAAUAAGAGGAGAGAGCCACAAGAAAUAAGCAGGAAUGAAACCAACAAGAUAGAUACAGAAACAACAUGAAGGCAUGUGCAGGAGUCAAGUCUCAAAUUGAUAGAGAUGAAACAACAUUCCUACUUCCAUCUUCUUCAUCUUAGCUUUUAGUCAUUCAACUUCAUCUUCCUAUCAUUUUAUCUUUAUUCAAUGCUUUUACAAUGAGGUAACAGCCAGGCAUGGCCCCUGGACUAGCGCGCACACACAAUUAUACAAAUAUCAACAUCCCCACGAAUGGAACAUUCACUCUAAUUAAACUACGCUCACUUUAAAACCGUUUGUUAUAGUUACGAGACACCAAAUUCAAUGCAAACUUAGUUAUGGAACCAGAGAGAAGUUGAUUCAAAUUUAAAAUUCUGAUAUUUAAGAAUUUUGGUUUAUUUUGAACAUUAUAUUUCCUGAAUGGGUUUGUUUAGUGUGUGCUCAUGGACACACAUUAUACCCUAAAUUUGAUGGUUUUGGUGGAUUUUGAUUGGUUGACUUGAUGUAAAUGCAGGAGGGUCAUCCUCAUUUAUGAUUAGGUGAUCAAUAAAAAUGCACCAAACUCAUAGGAGUUAGUGCUUAUUGUGUGCCCAUGGGUACAACAUAGAAUAAUCGUUCCUGAAUAUGAAGUUUAAGAGGAAGAAAUUUAUUUCAACUAUUCAUCUUGCGUGAAUAGCUACCACUCUAUUCUUUUCUUAUUAGUCGCUGACAGGGUUUCCAUCAGUUUUCAACGGUUAAAAGUCUCAAAUUAGUUAACAUUUUUUGGGUUGUUCUUGUUUCUCAACGAUACUUUUCACUGAAUUUGUUUUCGAUGAGUUUUGUUCUGAAUCUAUUUGAGUUUUGUUUAUGUUCUCUUUGUAAAAGUUUGACCGUGUUUUUUUUUCGCCUUUUAGUCUAAUUUCAAUAUCUAGUGCUGAAUUUUCAAGAUUUUAAUUUUAUAAUAAAAUUAUGUAUGAAUUGUAAUUAUCGCUGAUAUCUUAAACGGAUCGAUGAAGCGAGUGCACGUAAAUAUAUCUAUUUCUAAACAGUCAUAUCUACACGAAAACUGAAUUAAUCAAUGAUACAAUUUAUAUUAUAUUUUUUAGAUGUCCUGUGAUCUUUUACUAUUGAAUUAAUUCCUACUCACUAAAAAAAGGAGAAUAAUUUUUAGCCUAAUUCCAGUAAUGUUUUGACUUGAAGAAUGCAGCUAGAUAUAUGAUAUUUAUUUAAAAGAAAGUAAUCGGUCAGCAAUUAUUGGAGACAAUUGCAUGUGCGAUUUUGAAAUGCCAUGUAUGAAUGUAUGUAUAUCAUUUAGAUUUGAACCUAACCAUAUGGUCGUUUUGUGCCUGAAUUUUAGUUGUUGCCAGUUGAAUGGUCCCUUCUCCGGCAUUCUAAUGUUCCAGCUUCCGACUUGGUUAGUUAUAAGAAUUCAGAUACUUGUGUCCAAUCCCUUUUGUUUUGAUUGUUUAGACGUUUCUUCUGUCCAAUAUAUUGAUUAUUAGGAUUGGAAAAUCUUGUCGCUCAAAUAAAUAUUGUAGGCAUGUGAAUUUCGAUGUGCAAACAUUAUUUAGCUACAAUUUUGAUGAGAGGAAGUUUAUAUAGUUAUGAUAAACAAACUAGUUUAUCUUUAAUCUAUAAAGAUGAUGUAUUUCCUUUUUUAUACAUCAAGUAUAUUAUUCUAAUAUGACAAUGACUGUAUGAAAUCUUUUUAAAGUCUUUUAAUUUUAAGAAAUAUAAUCAAUAUCACGGGAUUGGUUAGGUUUAUUAAUAUACAAAAUUAUCCCGAAUAAAUUUAUAAACAUGAGAGACUAUUACAUUAGGGUGGAUUUUAUAACAUAUUCUUUAUUGUAUUAAUAACUUUUAUCCAUUUUCAACAAAAUUUUAAUCAACGUGCAUGAUAGAUGUCACUUAUUCUUAUCGACUAAGUUAACUCGUAAAGCUUAGAAUUCAUGUAUUUACUAAUUUAUUUUACUGAUUUUUAUUAUUUUUAACAAGGUAAAGUAUGUUCAAUUAAUAUUCAAUUUUAAAAUAUUUAACUAUAGUGAAUUCUAAUUAUGCAACCUACAAAUACUUACUUUAUCAAAUGAGUAAUAUACAUUUAUAACUCAAAAAAAUUUAUUCAUGCUCAAAGAUCCUAAAACUAAGGUCCUAUUUGAAAGUUAGAGAUUUUGAACAAAAUUAGAGGUUUAAGGAGUUUUUGAGGUUUGACCACUAAAAUAAGAUAAUAUUAGUGUUUGUUAGUUAGCGGAUUGAAAUAUAAGUUUGGAUCCAAAAAGUUAAUUUUGAAAAGCUAUUUUGAAGAGUUUUUUGGAUUAAUAGUUUUAGUUUGUGUCAGAAAAAGUUAAUCAAUCAGCUAUUUACUAAACAGUUUUAUGAAAAACAACUAAUUCAAUCCGCUAGUGAAAACAUGUAAUUCAAUCAGCUAGUCAAACCUCUAUGGUCAAAAUUUACAGCAAUCACCGGGGUGAAACAGUGUCUAACUUUCAGGAAUGUUUGAAGACCUUUGUUUGGCCAAGUUUGACUUUCUCUAAUCUUAAACAUCAAGCCAUAAGCCACAAGUACAUUCUCAAUAACUUUCUUUAAUCUAGAAGUGGAAUCAUUCAUUCCAUCACUACUUUCACCCCUAUAUAAAUUCUUCAUUUGCCUACAUUCUUUUUAUUAGUCUACUCCACUCCAAAAGAAUAUCACACACACUCUGCCUCACCCUCUUUCAUCCAAAUGUUCAUGCACAGAAUCUGAACUGCACAACAACAGUACUUCUUGCAGAGGUCACCAGUAUACCUCGCAAUCUGAUACACGACACGAAAACACGAAAACGUAAAAGUAUGCUCAUGCAGACUUAUAUGUUUAAGUACUUAUAAAUUUUUAGACUUCGGGAGUUUUUUUUUUUUUUUUUUUUUGCAACCAUGAUUUCUUGGUAUGAUAUUUACACGGUCUUGACCGCGGUGUGCCCGCUCUACGUGGCCAUGAUUCUGGCCUACGGCUCGGUCCGGUGGUGGAAGAUUUUCUCACCGGACCAGUGCUCUGGCAUUAAUCGCUUUGUCGCGAUUUUUGCCGUGCCACUUUUGUCCUUCCAUUUCAUCUCCAACAAUAAUCCCUAUGACAUGAACUUCCGGUUCAUAGCCGCGGACACGUUGCAAAAAAUAAUAAUGCUCGUGGUCCUCGGCAUAUGGGCUAAAUUGAGCAAAAAUGGUAAUCUCGAAUGGAUGAUUACGAUUUUUUCUCUUUCGACGCUUCCCAACACUCUUGUCAUGGGAAUUCCUUUGUUGAUCGCUAUGUACGGGGAUUAUUCGGGUAGUUUGAUGGUUCAAGUUGUGGUUUUACAAUGCAUCAUUUGGUACACUUUGCUCUUGUUUCUGUUCGAAUAUCGAGGCGCUAAGAUGUUAAUUAUGGAACAGUUUCCUGAAACUGGUGCAUCCAUUGUGUCGUUUAAGGUUGAAUCUGAUGUUGUUUCGUUAGAUGGUCAUGAUUUCUUGGAGACUGAUGCGGAGAUUGGGACUGAUGGAAAGCUUCAUGUGACUGUCAGGAAGUCGAAUGCUUCCCGGAGAUGUUUGGGGAUCGGGUCGGGUUCGGGGAUGACUCCAAGGCCUUCGAAUCUCACUGGAGCUGAGAUUUAUAGCUUGAGUUCGACUCCGAGGGGAUCGAAUUUUAACCACAAUGAUUUUUACUCUAUGAUGGGGUUUCCUGGUGGGAGGCUUUCGAAUUUUGGACCAGCUGAAAUGUAUUCGGUUCAAUCUUCUAGAGGUCCUACCCCGAGGCCUUCGAAUUUUGAGGAGAGUUGUGCUCCUGCUCUGCCAAUAACCUCUCCCAGGUUCGGGUUUUAUCCGGCUCAGCCAGCGCCUACUUAUCCGACACCUAAUCCUGAGAUCGCGUCAGGUGGUACUAAUAAAUUUGCGAAGCCUCAGACAAUGCCUCAGGCGCAGACAAAUGUGGUGCAGCAAAAUGUGGCUCAGAAUAAGGGGGGCAAUGAUGGUAAGGAGUUGCAUAUGUUUGUGUGGAGCUCAAGCGCGUCGCCUGUUUCUGAAGGAGGUGCUCUCCAUGUGUUUGGAGGCACUGAUGGCGCUGCUGAACAAUCCGGAAGAUCGGAUAAGGAUGUGAAGGAAAUUAAGGUUGUGACUGCUGAUCACCCACAAAAUGGGGAGACCAAAGGUACAACAUUUGUACUAAUGUGUUCAGAUUUUUUUUUAAAGAAUUUUUUUUAUAUUUUCUAAUUUGUUUUCUUGAUUAUGAUGUUAAGCUGCUCGAGGAAGUGAGGAGUUUGUGAGUGAUAAUUUGAGCUUUACUGGUGGCGGUAGAGAUGAGGCCGAGGACAGAGAGAAAGAGGCACACAUGGGAGUGUCGAAAUUGGGGUCAAGUUCUAGUUCUGUACACCAGCCUGCAGAUCAUGAUAUCGGCACUGGGAAAUUAAUGCCUCCGACGAGUGUGAUGACUCGUUUGAUACUGAUUAUGGUGUGGCGGAAGCUUAUAAGGAACCCGAACACUUACUCUAGCCUCAUUGGUCUAAUUUGGGCUCUGGUCUCUUACCGGUAAGAAAGUUACAAAUCAUUCAUGUUAGUUUGAUAAUGUUACUGAAUUACAUUAUAAUUCUUAGAACAUGCGUAAUGUUCCUUUCGGAUUUAAUUCUAGGUGGGAUGUCGCGAUGCCAAAAAUAGUGGAUAAGUCCAUUCAUAUACUGUCUGAUGCUGGACUGGGGAUGGCUAUGUUUAGCUUAGGUGAGUAAUUGGUAAUUAAGAAGUGAUUAUGGUAGAUGUUUUCUUCGUUAAACUUUAUUCGAUACAUCAACAGCUGUAAAAUGAAAAUCUUGAUCCGACAUGAGGGGCCGAGGUCCAAGCAGUUGUGAUAAGUGGGCAUCACAUUGUUGGAUGCAUGAUUCAUUCUUAGCCGAAAGCAUAAAGCUCGUAUUCACAUUUACAACUGUAUGUGUCUCCUGAUUUUUGUCUUGUGAUCUCUCUGAACAGGGUUGUUUAUGGCCCUGCAACCCAAGUUAAUCGCCUGUGGCAACAAAAUGGCCACCUAUGCAAUGGCGGUCAGGUUUCUGACAGGUCCGGCUGUGAUGGCCGUGGCCUCUGUGGCUGUUGGCCUUCGCGGUACCCUACUCCAUGUCGCGAUUGUGCAGGUAAUGAAAUAAGUUAAAGUUGUCAAUUAAAUAGAAAAUUUAGGAAUCUGGCUUUUCAUAAUGUGGAACAGAGUGAUGGGGCUCAUGUGUUACACUUUAGAAAAACAAGGUAGCGAACACAAAUAGUGUAAAGUUAGGUGACAUGUUUCAUGUUUAUGUAUUCUGAUGAAAUGUCUUUAAAUUUGCCAGGCUGCACUUCCACAAGGGAUUGUUCCAUUCGUGUUUGCGAAAGAAUACAAUGUUUAUCCAGCAAUACUUAGCACUGCGUAAGAUUUCCUAAUUCGCCAACUAUUUAUUAAUAAAUUAAGCUCCCCUCGUGUUAUAAUACAACUCACCUGAAAUUUUAGGGUCUGAGAAAAAUAAGACAUGACCUGUACUGCUGUAUAUUUAUUUCAUUUUUGUUUUUUUGAAUGUUACAGGGUUAUCUUUGGAAUGUUAAUAGCCUUACCUAUCACUCUCGUUUACUACAUUCUUCUUGGUUUGUGAUGACAUUACUGAAUUUCCAAGCGUGAACGCGAAAAAUGAAGAAAAAAAGGUGAAUUCAGAACAAAUGCUCAGAAGGGGCAUUGAUCAUGGCUGCCUCAGGAUUAUAUAUUUGGAGAUUUUCUUGUAGGGGAAGUGAUUUUACGAUGAAACCGAGGCUUGAACAUGGUAUCGGACUUAAUCUGACUCCUGAUGAGUAUGGUAUAGUGACGAGAAAUAUGAAGUAGAUGCCGGAACUUGGAGAAAAAUGGGAGAAGCUAGUUAAGUUGCACAAGGGAGCAGAUGAACAAGGACAUGGAGUGAUGAUAGUUCAUGCAUUCUCUUUGUAAAUUCUACUCUUGUAGAGCUGAAAUUGGUUUUUCUCCUGUAGGAGUAGGAUAAUGUGACAAGAUUAAGGAUUUUCAUCCUGGUUUUAUUGUUCAGUUAUACAUAUAAGUUCAAUGUUUUCACUGUUUUUCCUGGUGAAUUGGUGGUUGUAGGAAAAAAAAGAAGCUGCAUUAGCCAUUUAACAACUUGAAUUAGACUAAAAAAUAGCCAAACAAAAUUUUAGCUGUGUUCUCGUUGAGAGAUUUCAGCUCAAUGGUUAUAAAUUGCCAAAUUGGAGUGAUCAAAUCAUUCUGUUACAAAUCGUGCAUUUUUACGUACACAUUAAAAAUUGAAUUUAACAUAAAUCGGAUCUUAGUAGUCGUGAACUCGAUAUUCAUCAUUAAAUUAAAAUCUCAUCGGUGUGACGUUAUCAAGUGUUUUAUUUAUAAUAAUGUUGAAGAAAUCGAUCACAAAAUAUAUCAUAUACAAGAUCAAUCUCAUUACUCAAUACUCAUCGUUAGAUAGGAACUCGUCCAUAUCACGUUAUAUUAGUUACAUGAGCGUCCUAUGAUAUUAUAGGAGCAUCCAACAAUAUAAUUAUUUUAAUGGUCUUUUAAAAAUAAAAUAAUGUACUAUUUAUCCAUUUUCGAGCAUACGACCUGGUAUACGCAUAGUGCCUGUUUGAUUAGCAGGAGCAGUUUAAAUUUUUCUGGACUCGUUUGUUUAAAUAAAUAGAAAUAUUUUUAAAAAAUUGAAAUACUAACUUUUCUCACAUAGUCUCUACUUAUUUUCAACACUUUAUUAACUUAUUUACUGCUCACUUCUACUCCACUUCUCAAUUUUAGUGGAAUUCUCGACUGAAUAUGUAAAGUGUGACUAAAACGAAACAAAGAAAUUCUAAAACUUUAUUUACGAUCCUAAUCGAAACUAAUCCAAAGUACAGGUGAGGCUAGAUCAAAAAUUAAAAACGGGACGGAUGUAAGAUUGAAAUCUUCAAGAGUAUCAAGCAAAUAUCUGAAAAUAAUUUGCGUAUUUCUUAAAUUUUUAAAAAUAUUUAUACAAUUUUAUAAAAUUUAGAAGGGCGAAAAAAAUACAAAACACGCAUUUCCCGUACCACUGGUCAUAUUGGUCUUAGGUCAUGAGUCACGAGGGGUAUUCCUAGGAGAUCCAGAAUAGGGAGUGCUGUGAAAGAAGGAAACACACGUAGUCCUCUUUAUAUUGCUUCCACGCAAAAAAAUUCCCACCACUUAUCGACCAAUUCAAUCAACCCUUUUUUAUAAGCUGUCGCUUAAAUUUUUAGUACGUCUUUCCAGGGGGAGCGUGUCUACAAAAUCUCCACACUCCAAUGUAUCCAUAUUUACCCACGCUCACGCUUCCUCAGUAAAGGAUACACGUUUGUACUCUUUUACUGUUCUUCUGCUCCGGAACAAGAGUUAAAUUCUACCAGGUGGAUUUUUAUAAUAUUUGCUAACAGUUUGAUUUUUAGUAGUAUAUAAUUUAUCGGCCGAAUCAGAAUCUAGAGACUGAGGAUGAAAUAUUUCCAUAAUUAAAAUUUCAAUGAUUAAUCUUAAUUAUUUUGCUACUCUCAAAUUGAAUUAUGUAUUGCUCUCUAAAUAUGAAAUGAGACUUGAAAUAAAAGAUUUAAAUAAUUUUUUUUAGUUCAACCUUACUUUGAGAAUAAACCGAUCAUAUACGAUGAUCUUUUAUCAGCUAGGCUGUGUUCACUUCAUGGAAUGGAAUGAGGGGAGAAUGUAAUGAAAAAUUAUCUAGAAUUUUUAAGGAGAAAAAAGAAAGCAUGAGAUAAUUGUGACAAAAUAUGAAUGUAGUUAAUUUUUUUGUGAGAAAGAUUGUGAAGAAACAUGAUGUUGAAAUGGAAUGAGCAUUCCUUCCAAAACAUAACAUGUGGGUUAGAGUUAAAGUUAAAAUAGUAAGGUUGGAAUGAUUGAAAGAAUGACAAUUAUAUACAUUUUCUUUAAUCAACAUCAUUUUAGAGUACAAAAUUCAUUACAUUCUCCCUUCAUUCCAUUCACACCAAGUGAACACAACCUUAGUCAUUUUGACUCACCAAUGACAGUUAAGUAUUCCCUCGUCCCGUUUUACUGGGAAAAAAAAUAUUUCAAAAUAUCUGUCUCAUUUCCCUCUACAAAACAAUUUUUUGUAUGUAUUUUCAUAGACUACUCUUUGAAUACAGGUUUUCAUAUUUAAUUAUCCUCAAAUACACAUAAAUUAAUUUAAUUGAGUGCAUUUAUUAGAGGUAACAAUGAAAUCAGAUACUCAACUAAUUCUUUCUUAAGAUACAUAAUUUUAUCAAAAAGGAUAUAUAAAAGAGGACGGAAGGAAUAAUAAGAUAAGAGAGUAGAUUCCACCUGAUUAGCGAGAGAAUCCAAUUAUAAACACCUUGUUAGUAAUAAAAUUCCAAACACCUAGAUGGUAUACAAUCCAAUAUAUGUGCAACUCGAUCGGGCAAAAGUGGUACGAAUACAUGGACCAAAACCUCACUUAUUUAUAAAAAAGUUGGCAACUAUUAUAUAAGUCUAGUUCACAUCCACGACUCCCCCGACAAAACAAUCAUCUAAGCUCCACACCCAUAUGGACGCCCAUACUACGUACAUGUGGUGCUAGCUUGGUCUACUCAAACACACAUAUACGACGUGUCUCUAUCCGAUCGAAUCAGGAUUUCAAAUUAUGCUUUACUGAAAAAAAAUUAACAAUAAUGGUUGCUAAAACCGAAUUGUUCUACAUUUCUAAGGACAAAAUGAAAAAAUUCGUAAAGUUUUAUAAAUAAAUUUGAGAUUUAACAAAAAUUAGCUCCUUUUAGUUAAGUCUAACGUGCAUGCAUCACAUGCACAGGACCUUGACUCCUGAGGCCAAACUAGCUAGCCAUUGUGUAUUAUUGUGUUUUUCUCUUUGCAUAAAGUUAAGAUAUAGUGGGAGGAAAAACUGCAACUAAAGGUUAAGUAGGGACUCCGAGAAUGAAGUUCUCGGCAACGCUACAUGCAUCAUGCACAGAAUUAUUAAACAACUUUCAUGUACCCAUUGAUUGGAUACUACAUAUAUGAUAUAUCAUAUUUAUCAAUUAUCAUGUGUACUCGGGGAGAUUUAAUGGAAAAUAUAUGAACUCAUUAACUGUGGCGGAUCUGACUAUAAAGUUAAGGGAGUCAAUUUUUUUAUAAAAAAAAUUAAGAGGGGUCACAAAAAAAUUAAGAGGGGUCAAUUUCAAUUUUACAACCUAAAAAUAUGUAUAAUAUUACAAAAAUUAAAAUUUAAGGGGGGUCAAUUGGCCCCCUUCCCCUACUAAGAUCCGCCUCUGCUCAUUAAGAACUACGUACUCGUCGACAUUUAAUUUCGUUUAAAAAAACACUAAUAAUAUGUAUAUCAUUCACGCACAGUGUUUUGGAAAUUUCUGAUCCGUUUAAAAAUCUCUAAUUAAUUCUUAAGAAAUAUUUUACCGAUUUAUUAAUUACAUUUUGAUUUGAUUAGAAUCAUCCAUUUAUCAGAAAAUUCUCAUAAAUUUUCAAUAAAAUUUGAAUCACUAAAUUAAUCGACUCAUUUUGAUUUUCGAUUUCUUGACUUUGAACUCUUUUAUUUAAAUAUUAAAGGAGCAAGUGGGAGGGUGGAGGCUGGACAUGUAUGAAAAUAGAGAUGACACUAAAUACAUGCAAACAAAUGCACGUGAAAUUACAUUUCUCACACAGAUCCACAAAGAAUAGUUGUGAAUUGUGAUGACUAAUUAUUGUAGGGUGAAGGACAGACAGUGGGCUUGGGUUUUGGGCCCAGAAGAGUAAUGGAAAUUGGGGACCAUGUGUGUAAAGUUACGUGGAGGGUUUAACUUUUGUGUCCAUUAUUCAAAUCAGGGUCCAUUCGAAUUUAGUAGGGUUCUUGCUAUUUUUUCAUCUUCUCAUGAUUAAUUUAGUUUUCUGUAUAUUUAUGCCUCUUCCUGAGCUCAAACCAAAUCGGGACAUGAAGUAAUUUUAACUUGAUAGUCAAGUACAGUGCUAGUCCUGCAGCCUGCAGGUAGUGUUCCUCAGGUACUCACUCUGUUCAUGGCGAUAGAAAUCGAAAAAUAAAAUUAGUUGACUUGUUGAUUCAGAAUUUCAAUCGGGAUUUUUACUCAUAACAGAAGUUAUAAAUGUAAUCGAUAAAUCGAUAAGAUAAUUUUUAAGAAACCAAUGGGAGAAUCUUUUAAUAAAUUGAGAAUUUUUGGAACACAUGUCUCCGUUUGAAAAUGCAUUUUAAUUCAAAUUUGUUUUAAAAUGAAAUUGACCAUCUUGAUUGAAGUUUACAUACAAUAUCUAAUUAGAAUAAAUUAUAAAAAAUCAGUUAAAGACAAGACAACUGCAUGAACAAAUCUAGUUGCUAAUGAAAACAUAUCAACAUGUAUAUGGCAAUUGGUCUCUUCUAGGUUUAUAUUCUGAACUACUCCCCGUCUCUUCUAGGUUCAUUUUGAAAAAAAAAACAGGCAUAUUAAAAAAAAAUUAGUUAGAUAUGAUUUUAUCUAAUAUAUCAUUAAUUAGUGUAUUGAAAAGUAAGAGUAUAGUUGAGUCCAAAAAAAAAUAUAAUAAAUAUAGAUAUUUAGUGCAUUGAGAAAUGAGAAUAAAGUUGAGUUCCAAAAAAAUCACAAUAAAAUAUAAAGAUAAAUUUGUGUUGGAAAAAAAGAGUGACAUAUAAUUUAAAAUAAAUAUUUUUUUUUAAGUAAACAUGUAUAUUGAGUCGGAGUAACUUUAAUAUUUCUUGCGAUGCAACUCAUUUGGUUGGAUAUGAUGAACUAGUUUGUGGACUGUGGUCACUCACAUCAACUGUCCUUUCAUUUUUGGUCCCUUGAGUGACUCCUCUAGUUCCUCACUACUCCAAUCAUUUCUCAAAUUUCAUUCACUUUUCACUUUUCGAAAUUAAUAAAAAAAAUCCUCCUUUUGAAAAUAAUGAAUUCUCAACUUUUUGUAGUGCAAGAUUUGAGUAGAAUAUGUUGUAUGUGUUGAAAAAUGAAAAGCACGGAUGCAGGCUUUUCAGAAAAGAAAAGGGCAAAGUAUAGGGUAAAACUAAAGCUAGGAAAGAGGAGCAUGCACAUGGAGAUACAAAAUAAUUCUAUAUAUUAUCAUCAGAUACUUGUUCUUGAAUUUUUUAUGAGAUGUCCGUAUGGUUUUAUAUUAAAUUUUAAAUUAUUGAAAAAAAGUCGUAUAAUUGAUUUCGGUUUUGUUGAAAAAUGGCUUUUGUGUUGAAAUGGACUCGUAUAUUUUAUAUGCAUGCUAGUUUAAUUUUUCUUUUCCAAAUUAUGUUAAAUAGGCAAAAAACCAAAAUAUCAUUGGUUUUUACUUCUAUAAUAUCCUCAUUAAAAAUUUGAGCAUGUUUACUAGCACUACACUACUACUUCCAUGAAAGAUGAAACAAAGGAAAGAAAGAAGAACACUGGGCCUGGGCAAGUGAAAACCAGCCGAGAGAAGCCCAGUUAUAUAAUGACCAACGAACGAUAAAUGGGUUUGAGGAUUGGAUGCCCAGUGUUAAAGUGAGGAAGAAACAAUAAACAUAUAGGGCGUCUAACCUUUUUCAAAAUUAAUUUACGGGACUGAUCAUUAUUUCAAUUAAAUAACUGUUAAAAGAUAAUAUCAAUAAUUUACUUAAACCAAGUUUCUAAUAUAUUUUAAAACUCUAAUUUGUAUAAUUGUAUCUCAAAUGCCAGACUUCCAAACAUAAACUAUAUCACAUGAGUUAAACAUACAUGUCCUUAUGUGACUUUGUCUUAUAAUGUGAUUGAUAACCGUGGUGAAAGUAAGAUUUUUAUAUUUAUAAAAAAGUUGUAUUCAAUAAAAUGAAUAUUGUUUGGUUUGUAGGUAAUAUAAGAUUGAAAAUUGAUUUUUUUUUCAUAAUAUUUUAUAUGUGAAAAAAAAAACUAAUUUUACAGAAAAAUGUGAAAAUUUUUGGUUCCUUCCCACCAAUUAGCAAGGUUAAGUCAUUUUCAUCGGAGUUGCCUACACGGUUAUGAUUGGAUGACUCAAAUUGAAACAGUUUAUUGGAGGAUACCGACUAUAAUUUAUAUUUUAAUUAUUCAAGUCAUUAUGUACCCUUAUACAUUGUACCUAUUUUUAUUUAAUUAUUUCAUUUUCUCUUUAUAUCAUUUUCAAAUAAUAAAUUUUGAAAAUGAUACAGCAUGUACUUCAACCAUUUUGCAUAAGUCACUAUACAAAAUUUAAACUCUGCCUCUCUCGUUUUGAAUUUUAAUACAAAAGCUCCCCUCCUUCAUGUCCACUUGAACCAUCAUAAUUGUAAAACUAGCGCCUCGAGUAACAAGUGGGGGACGACGGCCUUGACGACUUAAAACGUUAUUUUACAAAAAUGAGCUGAUUUAUCAUCGAUUUUUAUAUUAUAUCAUGUUGGCUUUCAGAACUAAAAACGAUUUAUCACAUUGUUAUAUUAUAAUAUUCGAUUCGUUUUGAAAUAUAUGUCGUUCGAUUUUUUCAUUUUUUUUUGAAUGCUUGAUUUUUUUAUACUUAAUUCCGAAGCAUUGUUAUAUUAUAAUAUUCGAUUCGUUUUGAAAUACAUGUCGUUCGAUUUUUUUCAUUUUUUUUAAUGCUUGAUUUUUUGAUACUUAAUUCUAAGUUCUUCGACUGCACAGUUAAAAUUUUUAUUUUCGAAGUUUUUUUCUUUUAAAUCAAAUAUCAAUCAUAUAUUUUUCUUCAAAAAAAUUUAAAAUAAUAAUUUUGUUAAUACGAUCAAAAAAUUUAGAAAUACGUAUUAAAAAAAUCAAAUAACGGAAGUGCUUGUUAGAACACGGAGUCUUACUAACCCUGCAUUCGCAUGAGUAAUUUAAGCUAUAUCCCUCAAGUGUCAAGGCCAUAACUUCACACUUCACAAUAAAGUGCGCAAAAAAGUAGAUACAAAUAAAAGCAAAACAAGAAGAUUUAUCGACCCAAUCCCACCCGUCCGAUUUCUAACAGAACUCGAAUAAGCCUGAUCAGUCCCAUGAGGAGGCUUCUUGUAGUAAUACGGGAACCAAGGCACUAAAGCAUCGGGAGCAGGCGGAGUGACACCACUCAUCCGAUAAGGUGGAGAAGGGUAGUUUGGUAAUAAGCCUGUCGGCGGAGGGUAAAAUGAGCCGCCCGUGGGUGACGGCGGAGGUAGGGUGGCUGGCGGUGGAUAGUUCCCGGGCCCCGCCGGAGGAGAAGGGUAGCAUGGGUAGGGACACUCGGUUUGGGAGCAAGAUGUGUGGAGACAAGAGAGGAGUGUUGUGGAGGCAAUGAGGAGGGUGAGUUGGUUUAGGUUUGAAGGCAUGAUAUGUAAAUGUGUGUAAGAAAGGAGUGCAAGUGAAGUUGUAGUGAGAUGAUAUUAAUAGAGAGAAGUUGAAAAAGAAAUUUAGUACAAAUAGUUUUGGAUUUUGUAAAACUGGUUUUAUUAUUUUUUAGGUAAACUGAGGCCAAAAACGAAAUGGAUGAAUGUUAGAUCUCCACUCCAAUGUUAUAAUAUUAUUAUAGCAUAUAUUAACUACGGUUUUUCUGUGUGUGCCCAUGAGCAAAUGCUAAGCGCGGGAUUUUACAAGUUUAGAAGAUUUUGAUUGGCUCUCAUAUAUUAAUAAUGAUGGACCCCCUGCAAAUACAACAACCACGCGAAUUAAAACCUCUCAAUCAUAAUAAAUUCUGCGCUUAGCAUUUGCCCAUGGGUACACACUACACAAACCCUAUUAACUACAAUGUAACACUAUAUAAGUAUAAAACUUAUAUACAAUGGAUAUUGUGAUACUAAAUUUGAUAUCAAAAAUAUAUUUGGUGUAAUUUUUAGGUCAAAUUUAAUAUUUUUCAUAAUUUCAAUAAUAUUCUUAUUUUUACUAACAAAAGAUAUUUGCCCCCUUCGUUUUAUAGAAAGAUUGUUAUUAGUGUGCAUUACAAUGUCGAUAAAUAUAUUUUGUAAAUAAUAUGAUUUUAAUAUUAAAAUAAUAUAAAAUUAUCACUUUUUACUAUAAUGAAUUGGAGACCGUGUUAGCGGGAAGUGACCACUAAGAAAACAUAAUCUUGUAUGAUGGGGCAUGCUCUACGAAAGAUGAUUAAACAAAUGAGAGAGUAAAAUUUCGUAUGUUUCGGUCAACGGUAUUCAAAAACGAUUGUAGCAGCUAGAAGCCUAGAAUAGGGUGACUAGCAGCUUUAAUUAGAAGAUACGACUAAAACUUUUACUAGUAGUUUCUUUCAAAUUCAAAUUAUAUGAAGAUAUUCCCCGACUACCAUGCACUUUUAACUCAAAAAUAAUUCUAAAUUUUGUAAAAAGAAAAUGCUACAUGCACAGAAUUGGGUACAGAAAUAUUCACAGAAUGAGUAUGUGUCAACUUGUGAUUGGAAUGGGCCCCGUGCACAUGCAUUAAUAGCUCCAAUUAAAACUCCCCACCUAGAUUGCCAUGUCAUUUUGUGUAAAAUUAUGUACCCAAUUUUAUGCAUGUAGCACUACUCUAAAAGGAAAAACAGUGACAACAGUCUAAUUACAAAUAUACAUUUAUUUCAAUCGAUUCUUCAUUUAUAAUGCAUCAUUUCUAUCCCGUGAGAACACUGAUGAAUAUCAGGAAAAAAAUAUUGGGAGCGUUUGGAUUGAGGUUGGGAAUGAAAAACAGUGACAACAGUCUAAUUACAAAUAUACAUUUAUUUCAAUCGAUUCUUCAUUUAUAAUGCAUCAUUUCUAUCCCGUGAGAACACUGAUGAAUAUCAGGAAAAAAAUAUAGGGAGCGUUUGGAUUGAGGUUGGGAAUGAGAAUCGGAAAUGGGAAUGGGGUAUAUGAAUGGGGGUUAAUGGGAAUGGGAAUGGUAUGGUAACCCAUGGGGUGGGAAGGGUAUGAUUUAACCACCUAAAAGGAUUGGGGUUCUCAUUCCAUGGCACCAAAUAACUAAUCCAAACACUUUUUAUGGGAUUAAAGUUCCGAUUCCUGUUAACCGAGCUCAUUAACCAUGAACCAAACACCCCCAUAUUCUCCGUUGCAUAUAUACUGUUAACUAUGAUGGAGAAGCCUUUGAAGUUGGUUAAAGUGUUGGUAGUUCAUUACUAGUGAAGCAACAACUGUUGUUAUGGUGAAACAAAUAGCACUGCUUCUUCUUCUUGUUUUCUUUUUUUUCCUUUUUUAAAACAAUUUACAGUGCUGAUUUGAAUUAUGAACCAAUGUUUGGUGGACCAAAAAAUUAUCUACGAUUAAUAACUUUUGGCUGUUUCAAAGCACAGUGCAACUGUACAAGCACGCAGAAUGUGGCAGCAUCAUCAAAAUUGAUCUCAUACUUGCUGCAACAAAGUUCAAUUUAUUAUCAAAUUGUCUCAUACAGUCUUCUACUAAACUCUUAACUAUAAUAUAAAAAAAAUACUGAUAGUUAUAUAAUAUAAUUUUAAAGAGUGUCAACUCCAACAAUACUCUCUAUAUCCUUUCAUUAUUAUAUAUUUUAUCCAUAUUUAAACCCACGAAGUCAAAUAUUCAAUAAUAUAGUUGAGUGAAUGCAUUUUUUAUUAUUAAAGACAAGUUAAGAGCCACUAUAUGGUACUAGAGGAGAAAGAAGAGACUCUUAAAAUUUUUAAGAAUCACUAAAAGCGGUUCGGAGUUCAAUUUUUUAUCAUCCUCCUUAUAUCUUGAAUUAGGAGUUUAUAUUGGAGUCUCCUUGGAGAUACUCUGAAGUCUAAUAGUUAGAGCAUCUCUAAUAGUCUCCUAGUAUGCUCCUAAAUAUAAUAUAAAAAAUAUGACUUUUAGUAAUGUAGUGUAAUUUUAAGAGUGACAACUCCAACAAUGUUCUCUAUAUCCUCUCACUAUUGUAUAUUUUAUUCAUAUCUAAACCCACUAUGUCAAAGAUUCAAAUUCAUGUAGUGGAGAGAAUGGAUUUUUUAUUAUUAAAAACAAGUUAAGAGCCACUACAUGGCUCUUAAGCUUUUUAAGAGUUAUUAAGAGUCUCUUGGAGCUCAAUUUUUGAUCUUGCUCUUUAUAUCUUGAGUUAGGAGCAUAUUUAAGAGCCUAUUGGAGAUGCUCUUAGAAGGUAUUAAGAGCAAUUCUAAAAUUUCAUUAAACGAGUUUCUAAACUACUGUGAUUCUAAGUGUAAGGAGGGAAUAAAAUCACUAGAACAUCUUUAUAUUUAUUAAAUUUAUUAAUCAUGUCAUAAUAUUAGAAAAUUUUAUACCAGGACACUGUGGUUGGAACACUUAUCCUAAACUUUCAGCUUUUAACCAUAAAAUUUUGAAAAAAUUAUUACUAACCAUUUCUUAACGGCUGAGAACUAAUAUUUAAAAUCUUAAAAUGUUAAAAAAGACUUCAAAUAGAUUUCAUGUUAUAUCUUAACACUUCUGUCAUUUGAAAUUUCAUUUUUCACGUUGGAAAGUGGACGUCAUCAUGUUGAGAAUUAGUCCUUUAAAAACUUAAAAUAUUAAAAAAAAUAUCUCACUUUCAAAAAAAUAAAUAAAAAUAUCUCAGAUAAAUCCUAUUCGAUCAUCUUUCUUUAUUUGUUUUGUCUUUCUACGUGCUAAUCUUCCUAGGACGGAUGCACAUACUAUGCAUACUCUGCACUGGACAAAGUCUGACAUAAAAUCAUAUUCCUCAGCUGUCAGCACCUUCCUCCUUUCUUCUCGUACAAUUCAAGAAAUACUUGUAAUCAGAGAAAAGUAUUCAUCGGGACGUGUGUGUUUAGCGUCUUGUGCGCGAAAUUUUGGUGAAUCUGUUGUAGUUUAGCAUGAAUUAAGGUUGGCGCGUUUAUUUUCAGGGCAUGCAUGUGACGGCUUCAUGUCACUCUAUACAAUAAUGUCGUCGAGUGACGUGUACCGCUAUAUACACUUUAUAUAUUUUUAUAUGGGUCCAGCUCAUAAGCAUACAUAUGCUAAGUACCUCUUAAAAAACACAUAGGUUCUUGACCGUUGGAUAAAUAUCCAGCGGCCAGGAUUAAAACAAAAUUUUAGUAUGUCCAGCGUUUUUUUUAGCGCUGGACGGGAGAAACUCUAUCCCGCGCUAAAAAAAUGUUGUACGGGUAGAAAAUGGGUUUUACCCGUCCGGAACUUGUAUGUUUUUAAACAGAUCCCUAGCAUACAUAUGUUAGGGAUAUGGACUCUUUUUAUAUGGGUCUUUUUGUAGUGUUAAUGAAAAUUAGAUAUUUUUAGAUAUUUUUAAUAUUUCUUUUAUUUAGAUGAAAAUUUUUAAUUGAUGAAAACUUUUAUAUAUACAAAAAUUAUUAUUAUUAUGAAUUUAAAGUAAACAUGAACAUAUAUUAGAAAAUCCCAACUUCUAUUACCUAAAUAUAUUAUCCUUCUUAAUUAUCGCAAAGUGACAGAACAAACGACAGGAAGUGGCACUACCUAAUUCCACGACUAUUUAUACAUGUAACUGAUAACUCCAAAUCUCGUCUAGGGUUCCAAUGCACUAUUCCGGGAAGCUUCAGGCAAGACCUAACCUGCAAAACAACGCUACACGGGGGGUGACAUCCCGUGAGGCGCCUCCGGCGUGAUAAUCAGUGAUUUGGAUGUGCUUGACAAGUAAGGGAAAUCAGAGAGUUUUCACUCUAAGUAUCUGGCGAGAGAUGCUUUUUAGAGAGAGUUUUGAGGGAGAAAUUUGCACUUACCUUCCACUUUGGCUGGGGAGUGCUUUAUAUAGGCCCUUUGCCGCCACUGUUGCUACAGUGGCGGGAAUGGGCCUGUAGGCACUCCCCAGCAUGGGUGGCUGUUUUGGUGCAGCUACUGUCCUUUUUUCUGUCCUUUUGGGAUUCGUGCAUGCUUAUUAUCCUGUUUGCCUUGUACUUGGUAAUGAUGAGGUCUGACUUUGGGGAUCUUCAGGUCCUGUAGCGGGGGCGGGUACUGUUGGCGGUUACUGUAGCGUGGUACCUUAUCAUUGCCCCCCUACUCCUUCCAUCUGCUUUAGCGGGUGGGGGGAGUAAGUAAAAUUUCCCGCGCAGGGUGCAUUUCCGGGUUGCAUUUGGGCGAGCGUGUCGUUGUGAGUGUCUGUGUUGAGGUGGCGGGUUUUUUGGCGUUGUUCGGCCGGGUUGUGUUUGCUGGGCCAUAGAUUUCGAAAUUUAAAAGGCGUGAAGCCUUUUGCCGCCUGGUCUUGUCGUUCCGUAUGGGGGAUGUACGGAUGUUCCACGUGGCGCAGUGUGAGUGGAUGAUGUCGUGACUGCAUGCACGGUUAAUUUGACUGAUGGCAUUUUGUGCGGAUAUUUGUGCCAAUUAACUACUGGCACAGAUACAUGUAUGAGGCUUUUGACUGGGGUGAUGGAUGUGUAUUUUGGCGCUUCAACAGCCCAGGGAAGUAACGGCUGAAGCUCAAAGGACUGGGUAGUGCUGUCUAUAUAAAGGGGGUUUUCGUUCGGUGAGAAGUGCUCAGCUCAUUGUUUAUCUUCGUAAAAGCUUGUUUCUGCAAAUUUGGUUAGUGCUUGAUUUGGGGCUUUUCCGGCGUAGUGAUCAUCUAUUUCUUGUUUUGUUGUUUGAUCGGAAGUUUUAACCGGUCGUCUCGUCUUGGUUUGUUUUGUGCAGGUGAUAUGUCUUCCGACAGCUCUGCAGCUAGUUCUAACUUGUAUUAUGGCCGGUCGAUCGAGUGGCGCCGGCGGCAGGAUCUGAUCAACCGGAUUCGCCGGUUGCCGGCCGAGCUUAUCACGGUGAGAAUUGCGGAGGCGCUGGAGGACGAGGAGCAGUCCUAUGAGUCUGCGCUGGAGAUUGUUUACCACGAGCUUUUGCUUCCGGGUCGUGCCCGGGACGCGGAGGAGGUGGACGGACGUUUGAUGGUGCCGAUUGACAACCCGCCGGUCCCUCCGGGUGUCACGGUGCGGGAGCGGUUGCGGGACGCGGAGGCGGAGAGAGAAGGCCUGCUUACCAGGCUGGAAGCUGUAGAUGAGCGGAUUGUGGAGCUGAGGGCUCAGCUUCCUUAGGUAGUUUCGAUGCGGGAUUAGCCCGUGUCAGAUUGUAUCUUUAUUUCUGCUUUAAUGUAAAAUCGUUGGUUUGAUGCGUAUAUCGCCUUGUGUUGUCCUUUGUUCUUCUUUUUUCCGUAUGUUGUUUCUGCGAUAGAGGUGUGAAGCAAACAAAACGCGCAGUAAAAAUUAUGACUAAAAUGAAAAUGGUGCUCCCCGAGUAUUGGACGCGGGCCAAUAAUUGGGGAAGUGAUAAACAUUUGAAGUAAAAUGAAAAUGUGCCCCCCAAGUAUUGGACGCGGCCAAUAAUGAGGGAAGUUGUAAAAAUUUUGAAUAAAAUGAAAAUGUGCCCCCCAAGUAUUGGACGCGGCCCAUAAUGAGGGAAGGAUGAAAAAAUUUUGAAUAAAAUGAAAAUGUGCCNCUUGGUUAGUGCUUGAUUUGGGGCUUUUCCGGCGUAGUGAUCAUCUAUCUCUUGUGUUGUUGUUUGAUCGGAACUUUUGACCGGUCGUUUUUCUUGGUGUGUCUUGUGCAGGUGAUAUGUCUUCCGACAGCUCUGCAGCUAGCUCUAGUUUGUAUUAUGGCCGGUCGAUCGAGUGGCGCCGGCGGCAGGAUCUGAUCAACCGGAUUCGCCGGUUGCCGGCCGAGCUUAUCACGGUGAGAAUCGCGGAGGCGUUGGAGGAUGAGGAGCAGUCCUAUGAGUCUGCUUUGGAGAUUGUUUACCACGAGCUUUUGCUGCCGGGUCGUGCCCGGGACGCGGAGGAGGUGGAUGGGCGGUUGAUGGUGCCGAUUGACAACCCGCCGGUCCCUCCUGGUGUCACGGUGCGGGAGCGGUUGCGGGACGCGGAGGUGGAGAGGGAAGGCCUGCUUACCAGGCUGGAAGCUGUAGAUGAGCGGAUUGCGGAGCUGAGGGCUCAGCUUCCUUAGGUAGUUUCGAUGCGGUAGUAGCCCGUGUCUGAUUGUAAUUUUAUUUCUGCCUUAAUGUGAAAGUGUUUAUUCGCUUAUCGCCUUGUGUUGCCUCUGUGUUUGAGUUUAGUUCCUGCGAUAAAGUUUUGAAGCAAACAGAACACGUAGUAAAAAUGAGGGUUGUGCCCCCCAAGUAUUGGGCGCGGCCAAUAAUGAGGGAAGAUUAAAAUUUGAAGUAAAAUGAAAAUGUGCCCCCCGAUAAAAAUUUGAGUAAAAAAUGAAAAUAUGCCCCCCAAGUAUUGGACGCGGCCAAUAAUGAGGGAAGAUAAAAAUUUGAGUAAAAAAUGAAAAUAUGCCCCCCAAGUAUUGGACGCGGCCAAUAAUGAGGGAAGAUAAAAAUUUGAGUAAAAAAUGAAAAUAUGCCCCCCAAGUAUUGGACGCGGCCAAUAAUGAGGGAAAGAUGAAAAAAAAUUUGAAGUAAAAUGAAAAUGUGCCCCCCAAGUAUUGGACGCGGCCAAUAAUGAGGGAAGUUGAAAAAAUUUGAAGUAAAAUGAAAAUGUGCCCCCCAAGUAUUGGACGCGGCCAAUAAUGAGGGAAGUUAAAAAUUUGAAGAAAAUGAAAAUGUGCCCCCCAAGUAUUGGACGCGGCCAAUAAUGAGGGAAGAUCUGGCGGGAAGAUUAGGGAGCGGUAGCGGUACGGUCGCGGGUGUUGAAGUUGUGUGGACUUGUAGCCUGUGGGUGUCCGUGUGCAUUAAAUGCACUGCACAGACAUUCACUGAGGAGACUGUUGACCGCUGGUUUUCCAGGUGCGUUUGAGUUAUAUUUGACCUAGGAAACGCCUGUGGGAAGUGUGAACGCUUUGGGAACUCCAUUUGCUUUUAUUGCGGGGCUAUGGCUGUGGCUAUAUAAAGGCUAGGGAAGUUCAUUUGUGCACUUCAUCUGUGCGUUUAUCUUUUUUCUUCCUUUCUAAUCGUCAAAUCGUGCUUUUUCCUGUGAAAGUAUUGUAAAAAAUGUCUGAUAAUUCCUCGGCGUCUGUGAGCAACGGGAGUGAUGUGUCUAGUGGUAGCUAUAGGACGCAGAUGCGUUGGAUGAGGAGGGUUGAACUCCUUACUUUGUUCAAUGAUUUGCCGACCGAUCCAUUUGCUAGGAGGUUGGCUGAUAUGCUGGAAGAUGGCCUUCCCUAUGAUGAUCUCCUUGAGGAGGUGUAUGAGAGGAUGUUGGUCCCGGGACGCGGGCGAGCGGCGGUGCAGAUCAAUGGGCGGUGGUAUGUGCCCAUUGAUCGGCCGGAACCCGCGCCGGAGGCUACGGUGGCGGAGAGGUUGACUGCGGCCCGGGAAGAGAGGGACGAGCUGCAGGAGCGAUUAGAGGAUGUCCAGGCCCGCAUUGCGGACUUGGAGGCUCAGCUGUAGAAUAGGGCUUCCGUGUCGCGGACUGAGUCCGCUUUGGUUUGUAUUGAAAAAGAAUUCUGAUAUAUAUAUGUGAAGUGUUUUGCUUUCCCGCUGGCUUUUGGCUUGCUUGUAUUUAUGUUUUUUGUCUUCGACCAAUUCAUUACUUGUAAUAAAUUGGGUAAUAAAUGGGGAAUAAAAUUGAAUGCGGAGAAUGUUGUGGGUAAGAUUUGAUAAGUAGGGUGACAUAUAUGUAUUUGUUGAUAGGGNCUUGUCUGAAGUUUUAGUUUUCUCGAAGUGCUCCGCUUUUUCCAUCUGUAAGUUGCGAGAGGUCGUCCGGAGUAAAGUGCAACCGCUCUCUUUAUCAUUUCCGUUUAACAAGUAAGCAUCGCCGGCGAUCCUUUAAGUUUGUGCUUGUCUUCUCUCUUGAUGUUGCUGCUUAGUCAUAUUUUGCUGAUGUUUUUAGACUUUGCUUUGUUCAUCGUGUUUGUUGCCGUUCUUACUGUAUUUCGCGUAUUUGGUUGCUCGCCGGCGUAUAUAAGUCUCGUAAUCGUGUUGUUGCGCCGUAGUGUGGGUAGAUCGGUGUUUUAGGGCUUGCUUUUUCAGUAUUUUGAAGUGUCUGAAUGUCUGUGUUUUCGUCUUUGAUUUGUGGUGGUAGUAGUGGAGCUGUCGUCGCCGUGACUGCCGUCUGCACGGUGGCGUUGCGGUUUGAUGGCGGUGUAGCGACCUCGGGAUUGUUGUCUCGGGUUGUGCACCAUUAGGGUUAGGUUGAAGUUUUAAGGUUUGGAAUAUGCGGCGGUUGNNNNNNNNNNNNNNNNNNNNNNNNNNNNNNNNNNNNNNNNNNNNNNNNNNNNNNNNNNNNNNNNNNNNNNNNNNNNNNNNNNNNNNNNNNNNNNNNNNNNNNNNNNNNNNNNNNNNNNNNNNNNNNNNNNNNNNNNNNNNNNNNNNNNNNNNNNNNNNNNNNNNNNNNNNNNNNNNNNNNNNNNNNNNNNNNNNNNNNNNNNNNNNNNNNNNNNNNNNNNNNNNNNNNNNNNNNNNNNNNNNNNNNNNNNNNNNNNNNNNNNNNNNNNNNNNNNNNNNNNNNNNNNNNNNNNNNNNNNNNNNNNNNNNNNNNNNNNNNNNNNNNNNNNNNNNNNNNNNNNNNNNNNNNNNNNNNNNNNNNNNNNNNNNNNNNNNNNNNNNNNNNNNNNNNNNNNNNNNNNNNNNNNNNNNNNNNNNNNNNNNNNNNNNNNNNNNNNNNNNNNNNNNNNNNNNNNNNNNNNNNNNNNNNNNNNNNNNNNNNNNNNNNNNNNNNNNNNNNNNNNNNNNNNNNNNNNNNNNNNNNNNNNNNNNNNNNNNNNNNNNNNNNNNNNNNNNNNNNNNNNNNNNNNNNNNNNNNNNNNNNNNNNNNNNNNNNNNNNNNNNNNNNNNNNNNNNNNNNNNNNNNNNNNNNNNNNNNNNNNNNNNNNNNNNNNNNNNNNNNNNNNNNNNNNNNNNNNNGACAACAGAGGGACAGACCCCCGAGGUUUCCAGACGGAGGAAACGGGUCCGUAGUGCUGGUAUGGUCGGAAAGUUGACCCUGAGUGCCCAGAUUGGGCGCCGCGUGAAGCGCCGCGGCAAUGUGGAUUUGAUGGCGGGUGUCAGUGCUGGGGAUGCGUCUGGGACCGAAGAUGAGGUGAGACCUGUGGAUGCCCGCCGUGUGGGGCGAGGUAAUUUGUUUGGAGCCGGGCCACCAGGGCAGGUUGGCCUCACUGAGGAUGAUGUUGAAAAGAUGGAUGGGUUGGGAUGGAAGAAGCUGGUGCGUCGUUCCGAGCUUCAUCACAGGAAGGUAUGUGCUUGUGCAUUUGCUUUUGUACUUAGCGUUCAAUUCCGUGUAUGUGGGUUGUGAUAUGUUUUCUGAUGGUUGUCGCAGGCUCGAGGGUAUGAUUUGGCGUUAAGCACCCGGGGAGAAAUGUUCCGCCAGGACAAUAUUGCACUGCGGAAGCAGGUCGCUGAUCUUGAAGGUCAAAAGAAGACCUUGGUGGAGAACUUCCAUGCAGUCGAGGAUCAAAAGAAAGAACUUGCCCAAGAGAUGGAGACUCUUAAGGCUGACUGGCAGGUGCUUUCGGAUCGAAGGGACCUCGUGGACAAGGAGUUGGAAACCCAAAGGCUGUUUUGGGAGGGGAAGGAGGCAGCCUCGGAGCGGACUUUCACCGAACUCCGUAAACGUGCCGAAGAAGCUGAAGCUAUGGUUGCGUCGCGACCCACUGAGGAGAUGGCCAUCCGGAAAUAUCAGGCCAGUGUUGAGUAUCGGGCUGCCUUGGCCAAAGCUUUUGAGGAGGGAGUCUCUUCUGUGAAAGAAAGUGCGGAGUACUUGAGCUUAGUGGCGGGCGCGGGUGGUUCUUCUUCCGGUGUUAUAUUGCACUGCGGAAGCAGGUCGCUGAUCUUGAAGGUCAAAAGAAGACCUUGGUGGAGAACUUCCAUGCAGUCGAGGAUCAAAAGAAAGAACUUGCCCAAGAGAUGGAGACUCUUAAAGCUGACUGGCAGGUGCUUUCGGAUCGAAGGGGCCUUGUGGAUAAGGAGUUGGAGACUCAAAGGCUGUUUUGGGAGGGGAAGGAGGCGGCCUCGGAGCGGACUUUCACCGAGCUGCGUAAGCGUGCCGAAGAAGCUGAAGCUAUGGUUGCGUCGCGACCCACUGAGGAGAUGGCCAUCCGGAAAUAUCAGGCUAGUGUUGAAUAUCGGGCUGCCUUGGCCAAAGCUUUUGAGGAGGGAGUCUCUUCUGUGAAAGAAAGUGCAGAGUAUUUGAGCUUAGUGGCGGGCGCGGGUGGUUCUUCUUCCGGUGUUGACGCUUUGGAGAAGCGGGUAGCGGAUCUUUCCUCUUCCUUGAAGAAAGCAAAGUCUAAGGCACACAAGAGGAAGAAGAAGAAUAAGAAGCUUGCUGACCGGGUGAAGGAGCUUGAGAGUGCGGGUGGCAGCUCUGGAGGUAGUGCUGGGACAAAGAGUCCAAAAGCUCUGGAAACCGUGGAUGAGAAUCCCGUGGCGGAGGAAGCAGAAGUUUCCCGCUCCGCAGCUGAGGAAAGGGAGAACCCGGACACGGUCAUGGCUGAUGCGGAGAAGCAACCCGGGACCGAGGCUGCUACCCCAGAGGAGGAUGAAGAGCUUGUUGAUGAUUCGACCGAGACCCCCACCAUUUAACUCCUUUGUCUCUAAACUGUUGCUUUUUGAGUUAUGUUUGAACUUGGCUGGUUAGACUAUUUGAACUCAUUCUUUUGGGAUUUGUAAUUUGCCGUACAAUGGCGGGUGACUUGUGUGUGGAUUUGGGCUGUGCGUAUAAUAUGCUUUUAUUUGCUUUUUUAGUUGCGUGUAUGUGCUUGUGCUUUGUGUUGCUUGCUCGAGUUUACAGGUGGGAGCUUUGCCGUUGUCAGGGCAUGGUUGUGGAUACGCGGCCAUGCUUUGCUACAUUUUGUUGUUGCGUGUGAAUUUGGUCUAGGGGAGGGAUGGCGUUAGUCGUCCUUCCCCCUAGGUUAUAUGCUUGUUUUGUGACAGGUGGCUGCCAGGCACGUGCGCGGGAGUACUAUAAAUAGCCUGUCUCCCAAACGAAGGUAUUAUGCUCCUCCACUCCUUUGUUGUUUUAUCCUUGUGUUUUUGCAAAAAAUUGUGUUAAUCAUGUCUAAUCUUGUAGGCUCUCGCUGUUACUGUGAUCGUCCCGUUGUGGUGAAGACUAUCUGGGGUGGCCGGAAUGCUGGGCGGCGCAUGGAAGCUUGUGUUGCGGGUGAUUGUUACUAUGAAGUGUGGAUUGACGAGCCGCUUAGCGCUCGUGCUCGGGGUGCCCUUGAGGAGUUGAUGCAGAAGAACAAAGACCUGCAUGAGUCUUAUCACAAGAAGAUGGAGCGCGUUCGGGCCCGCCAGGUGAAGCGUCGUGGUGCGAUCUGGGCGCAGUUGCAGCUCAUUCACAAUGAGCUUUCCGCGAGUGACUCGAGCGAGGAGGAUGAGGCUUUUUAGAAGGCGCUAUCGCCGCGCUAGUUGUUGUAUUUCCUAAGUACCCCCGUUAUAUGUUUCGGGGGUCCAUUGUUGUUUGUAUUUCCCGUGUGCGUGCGUUUGUAAUAUGCUUGGUACCCGUGACCGUGGCUUGACCCGGGUAGCGUUGUUCCCGCGGCGGCCUUUAGCCGAUCCUUGUAAGCUAUGGAUUAUAUAUUAUAAGCUGUUCUUGUAUCUUGUGCGUAAAUGUGCUUUUAUGUGCUUUUCGUUGAGAUGUGCUUUAUAUAUUGUGCUUUUUAUGUGCUUCUUGUUGGAUGAAUCAUCAGGACGCAAAUUAACGGAAAACAUCGUUAAUAAUAUAUAUAAGUCCAAAAGGAUGCCCGUUUACAUGCUAUGAAUCAUUAGGCCAGGUCUGCUACUGAUAAUAUUUCUUGAGCUUUGCUGCGUGCCAAGUAUUGUUGACCUCCGUGCCAUCCAAGUGGGAUAGCUUGUAAGAGCCGGGACGGAUGACUUGUGCUAUUUUAUAUGGACCUUCCCACUUGGGCAUUAGCUUGCCCGUGUGGCGCGGGUCUGAUGCCUCGGUUGCUCUGUUGACUAAGUCUCCCACCUGGAAUGCCCGCAUUCGGACCCGCUUUCCGAAGAAGUCCCUUGUCUUUUCUUUGUAGAGCUCCAUUUUUUGGACUGCGGCCGCCCGGACCUCGUCCAGUAGCUCCAAGUUAGUCCGCAUUCCCUCAAUGCUGUCGUUGAUGUUGAAGUUUUGCAUGCGGAAGGACGGUGAUCCUAUUUCCACUGGUGCUAGUGCCUCUGCCCCGAAUGCUAGUUUAAACGGUGUUUCCCCUGUGCUUGUUUUUUGUGUGGUGCGGUAGGACCAUAGGACUUGUGGUAGGUGUUCGGGCCAUUUUUUCUUGGAUUCUGUGAGGCUUUUUUCUAGCCCGCGAAGGAUGAUGCGAUUUGUGACUUCGACUUGCCCGUUGCUUUGCGGGUGGCAUACCGAUGCUUUCUUGUGCUUGAUCCCGUGAUCAGAGAGGAAGGUGAUGAACUUCUUUCCUACGAACUGUGUCCCGUUGUCGGCGAUGAGAGUUGUGGGGAUACCGAACCGGGUAAUUAUCUGGUUGCGGACAAACCGGAUUGCGUCUUCUUGGGUGAUGGUCUUGAGUGCUUUGGCUUCUGCCCAUUUGGUCAUAUAGUCGAUAGCCACCAUGACAAAUUGGAGUUCCCCGCGGGCUUUGGGGAAUGGUCCCAUAAUAUCGAUUCCCCACACCGCGAACGGGAUAGGGGAGAGUAUUGACACCGGGAUUGCGGGGGCUGCGCGUGGGACGUUGCUGAAAAGUUGGCAUUGGUGGCAUGCUCUGACAAAGGCUUUGCAGUCCUUUGCCAUGGUGGGCCAAUAGUACCCUUGGCGCAGGAUUUUAUGUGUAAGGGCCUUGCCCGCCAUGUGAUCCCCGCAUAUGCCCUCGUGAACUUCCCGCAUGCAGUAUGUUGCCUCAUCGUCGUCGACGCAUUUGAGAAUGGGGGAGUCGAAGUUUCGACGGUAAAGAACAUCGCCCUGUAGGAAGAAUUUGGCCGCGUGUGCCUUGACCUGCCGGGCUUUGCUGUGCUCUGUCGGCAGAGUUCCGUUUCGGAGGUAAGCGAUGAGGGGGGUCAUCCAAUUGUCUUCGUUAAGCGUAACGCUGAGCUGUUCCUUGGACUCUGUUGAGGGAUGAGGGAGAGAUAGGAAGUAGACGGGACCAUCCGAGGUCGUGUAUUCUCCCUCUAGGAGUUUGGAGAGGCUGUCCGCCAGUGAGUUGUCUUCCCGGUCUAUUUGGUGGAGCUGGUAGCUUUUGAGUGUGGACAAGCGGGUCUGCACUAAUUGCUGGUAUUGAGCCAGAGUCGAAUCUUUUACCGCAUAGUCACCCGUUGUUUGGCGAACUACCAGUUGGGAGUCGCUGUAUAUGGUAAGAUUUUGCAGUUGCAGAGUGAUGGCGAGGUCUAAACCUGAAAGCAGGGCCUCAUACUCCGCCUGGUUGUUGGUGGCUUUGAAGUUGAGCUGAAGGGCUUGUUUUAUACAAAACCCAUCCGGGCUAAUGAGUAUGGCUCCGGCUCCGCAUCUGGUGUUGGUGGCGGAGCCGUCUACGUAAAGUUUCCACCCUUCCGCGACCGGGAGGGGUUUUUGGUUGUCCGGUGCUUCUUCGUCCGGUUUAGCAAAGUUACACUCCACGACGAAGUCUGCCAGGGCCUGUGCUUUGAUCGCGGUUCUCGGGACAUAAGUGAGGUGGAAUUGGCUGAGCUCGAUUGCCCAGUUAAUAAGUCGUCCUGACAGCUCAGGCUUGUGGAGAAUUUUGCGCAAGGGUUGGUUCGUGACGACCCGUAUUUCUCGCCCUUGGAAAUAGUGACGAAGCUUCCUGCUUGCCAUGACAAGGGCUAGGGCUGUUUUCUCUGUAUUGGGGUAGCGAGUUUCUGCGUCUUUGAGCGUUUGGCUGACAUAGUAAACCGGUCUUUGCACCGUGUCUGCUUCCUUAAUAAGCACUGCACCCACCGUUUUGUCGGAAACUGCCAGGUAUAGUGACAAUGGUUCGCUAGGGGACGCGGUCGUCAGGAGUGGCGCGGAUGCCAGGUAUGUUUUGAGGUCCUCAAAGGCCUUUUGGCACUCCUCUGUCCAUGUGAGUUUUUUGGUUUUGAGUGCUCCUUUGAGGGUGUCGAAGAAGGGGAGGCACCGUUCCGCAAGCUUGGAUAUGAACCGUCGCAAUGCUGCGAGGCGCCCUGUGAGGCGUUGAACGUCCUUGAUGGUUUUUGGGGGCUGCAUGUCAAUGACGGCCUGGAUUUUUUCCGGGUUGGCCUCGAUCCCGCGUUGGCUUACCAGGAAACCCAAGAAUUUUCCCGCUCCCAGGGCGAAAGUGCAUUUGUCGGGGUUAAGUUUCAUGUUGUGUUUUCUGAGGUUUGCGAAGCACUCCCGCAAAUCGGUCAGGUGCGUCUCUUGGAGCAUAGAUUUGACAAUCAUGUCAUCGACAUAGACUUCCAUGUUGCGUCCCAGUUGCGGUGCGAAGAUCUUAUUCAUCAUGCGUUGGUAGGUGGCGCCCGCGUUGAUGAGGCCGAAAGGCAUGACCUUGUAGCAGUAUACUCCUCUAUGAGUGAUGAAAGCAGUUUUCUCGCAGUCUUCCGGUGCCAUCUUAAUCUGGUUGUAUCCUGAGAAGGCGUCCAUGAAACUGAGCAUGAGGUGCCCGGCUGUUGCGUCAAUGAGUUGGUCUAUGCUUGGUAAUGGGUACGGGUCCUUAGGGCAUGCUGUGUUAAGGUCUGUGUAGUCGACGCACAUGCGCCACUUCCCGUUAGCUUUCUUCACUAGCACAACGUUUGCCACCCAAUCCGGGUAUGAGACCUCGCAGAUCAAAUCUGCGUCCAACAGUUUAUCUAUUUCCGCAUCGAUUGCUUUUUGGCGGUCAGGCGCGAAGUUGCGCCGCUUCUGCUUUUUUGGCGUCUUCUUGGGGUCGACACUCAGUUUGUGCAUGGCCACGGAUUCAUCAAGGCCGGGCAUGUCUUUUGGGCUCCAUGCAAAAACGUCUGCGUACUCGCGCAGCAGAUCUGUGAGUUCUUUCUUGAAUACUGAUUCCAACCCGGCCCCAAUGCUGAUUUUCCGCGUGGGGUCGGUGGGAGAGAGCUGAAUUUGCUCUGUUGCCACAGCGGGUUUUGCCACGGGCUGCUCAUCCCGUAACAAGCAUUUUUUGAGCUCGGCGUCCAUGCGCGGAGGUUCCUCGUGCGCGGGAUCGUGGGUUUCUAUGACUUGCACCUCUCGGUGCCGUUUGUUCUUCCUUUGGAGGUUUUCAGCGCGUUUCUUUCGCUUCUCCUGCUUUCGUUUGUCGGCGUUUUCCCGCUUGAUGUUUCCGGGCUCGGUGGCCGCCAGGACUAAGGCUAUCCCAUAGCAUCGCUUCGAGGUUUCAGAAUCCCCCUUGACUUCGCCUAUUCCCGUGGGAGUUGGGAACUUCAUUUUGAGGUGUGAGGUCGAAGGGAUUGCUCUGAGUGCAUUCAGGGUUGGCCUUCCUAGGAUCAUGUUGUAUGAGGAGACUGCGUUGAUGAUGUAGAAUUUGAUUGUCUUGGUGAUUUGGUGGGGGGGUGACCCGAAGGUGACUGGCAGGUGAGCAACUCCCGCUAUGGGCACGGCGUUGUGUCCGAAACCGUAUAAAGGUGUCUCUUCCAGGCAAGGCUCGGGAACCGCGUUGUUCAGGCGCAGUCGAUCCCAGGUGUGCUGGAAGCAGAUGUCCGCAGAGGAGCCGUUAUCCACCAAUAUUCUUUUUACCUCAUUUUCUGCUAUGACCAGGGAUACGACUAGGGCUUCGUUGUGAUCCGGGUUGAUGCCCUCGUAAUCUGCAUGUGUGAAGUAUAUGGGGCUGUGCACCUCUCCCUGGGCGAUUGCAUAUACUGAAGGCCCGCUGGGGACAGGGGGCGUGACGGUGCCGCCGAAGACGGGAUUGACCACAUUUCUACCGUCUCGGUGGUCUUGUGGCGGUGGUGGUGGCAGAUCGCGAGGGAGGUACUGGUUUAGGUUUCCCGCUUUUGCUUGUCGUUCCAGGAAGUGUUUGAGUGCGAGGCAGCUAUCCGUGGAGUGCCCGUGUGUUUCGUGAUAUUCGCAGUGGCGCUCUUUGUUCCGGUCCUCCGGGUUUGUCCACAUGGCUGGCGGUGCUUGGUAAAAGGGCUUGUUUUUAAUGUCCCUUAACAGGGCCGACCGGGUUAGGCUGAACUUAGUCCAGUUAGGCUCAGGGCGCUUUUCGGGGCGGGAACCCACCGCGGGCCCCAGACGAUCCUUUACAGAUAUGUUGUUGUUCUUGUUGGCAGGAGGUCCGUGCGUAGUUUGAACUUGCAUUUGCUCCACGGGUUUUUGGUACGGGGCGUGUCGCUCACGUGGGUAAUGUUUCUGAUUGCUGGCGGGAGGGGCCCGUGCCCGUUUCAACACGGCCAAAGAUUCCGCUUCCGUGACGGCUUGGGAUGCCAGGUCAUAUGCCUUGGCCAAUGUCGUGGGUUGUACUUCCAUCAGCUUGACAACGUAUUUUUCGCAUUCAUACGGGUCAAGUCCCCUCUUUAGAUGGACGAGAGCCUCUAUCUCGUUUACACAGAUGAUCUUAUUGACCGCUUCCUUGAAGCGGUUGAUGUAGCUCUGCAGGGAUUCCCCUUCUCUUUGCCCGAUGGUUUGUAAGUAGGAAGUAUGCACCUCCUGAGGUUGGUUCGCCCUGAAUUUGUUCAGGAAUGCCCUUUUAAAGUCGGCCCAAGUGUCUAUGCUCCUGGCCGGGACGCGACUGAACCACCGCUGCGCGCUUCCCCUGAGGGUGGCGGCAAAGAAACGGCAUUUGGUGAGGUCGCGGUACUCGUAGUGUAGGGCCAGUUGGUUAAAAUAGCUGAGGUGCUCCUCGGGGUCUCCCAUCCCGUCAAAGGGGUUCAGGUUGAGAUGCUUGAUGUGCCUUUGCUUUGGUUCAUCCUCGAGUCUCUUUGUAAAAGGGGAUUCUCCGACUUCGCCAUUGGUGCCAUCUUCGAGGCGCUUCUUCAGGGCCAUGAGCGUAUUGAGCAUGUCCGCGUUAGAGGGGUUGACGCUUCCUGUGUCGUUGCGGACCUCAGGGGUUUCGGUGCGACGGCCCUCGAGACGGGCGCGGGCCUUUUCGUACUCUGCCUGCUUGGCUUCAAGCUCUUUUUUCAGAUCCCGGAUCCUCCUAUUUUCUUUCCAGGUUGAGGGGCGGUGUUGUUGUCCACCGUGGUUUUUGUGGUUCGUGUUUUGUGACGGUCCAAGGUGUGAUGCUGUGGACUUCUGUGGGUGAGGCUGGCUAUGAGCUUCACUUCGCUCCUCCUCGUCUUGGGGUUCAUGGUUGCCGCGCGCUUCCCCUCUAGGUUGUGGGAAGGCAGAUGCUACCUUCAGCAUUAUGUCGAUCUGUUGCUGCGUGAACUUUGUCAGAUCGAUGGGCCCCCCUUGAGUGAGUGGGGGAGGUACUGCGUUGGUGUUUGGUCCCGCGUUGGGGACGGAGUUCCCGGAUGGGGAUAGGUCUUGCAGGAGUACGUCGUCGUCGACUACUCGGACGUUAGGGUUGGCAGGGUCGGGGUUUAGCAGGCUCGCGUUUUGCAUGUUUGGGCGAGGGUUUGCCAUGUUGCUGGUCUGACUUACUAUAAGUCCGGAUCGAGUUUGCAUAAAUUUGCCCGACUUCUAGGGAUGCGAUCAGGUUUCUCUUAGGGAGAAGGCCCCUUCCUGGCGCGCCAAAUGAUAACUCCAAAUCUCGUCUAGGGUUCCAAUGCACUAUUCCGGGGAGCUUCAGGCAAGACCUAACCUGCAAAACAACGCUACACGGGGGGUGACAUCCCGUGAGGCGCCUCCGGCGUGAUAAUCAGUGAUUUGGAUGUGCUUGACAAGUAAGGGAAAUCAGAGAGUUUUCACUCUAAGUAUUCCUCUCUUCAAAUGGACGAGAGCCUCUAUCUCGUUUACACAGAUGAUCUUAUUGACCGCUUCCUUGAAGCGGUUGAUGUAGCUCUGCAGGGAUUCCCCUUCUCUUUGCCCGAUGGUUUGUAAGUAGGAAGUGUGCACCUCCUGAGGUUGGUUUGCUCUGAAUUUAUUCAGGAAUGCCCUUUUAAAGUCGGCCCAAGUGUCUAUGCUCCUGGCCGGAACGCGACUGAACCACCGCUGCGCGCUUCCCCUGAGGGUGGCGGCGAAGAAACGGCAUUUAGUGAGGUCGCGGUACUCGUAGUGCAGGGCCAGUUGGUUGAAGUAGCUGAGGUGUUCCUCGGGAUCUCCCAUCCCGUCAAAGGGGUUCAGGUUGAGGUGCUUGAUGUGCCUUUGCUUUGGUUCGUCUUCGAGCCUCUUUGUAAAAGGGGAUUCUCCGGCUUCACCACUGGUGCCAUCCUCGAGGCGCUUCUUCAGGGCCAUGAGCGUAUUGAGCAUGUCCGCGUUGGAGGGAUUGACGCUUCCUGUGUCGUUGCGGACCUCAGGGGUCUCGGUACGACGGCCUUCGAGACGGGCGCGGGCCUUUUCGUACUCUGCUUGCUUGGCCUCGAGCUCUUUUUUCAGAUCCCGGAUUCUCCUAUUUUCCUUCCAGGUUGAGGGGCGGUGUUGUUGGCCACCGUGGUUUUUGUGGUUCGUGUUUUGUGACGGUCCAAGGUGUGAUGCUGUGGACUUCUGUGGGUGAGGCUGGCUAUGAGCUUCACUUCGCUCCUCCUCGUCUUGGGGUUCAUGGUUGCCGCGCGCUUCCCCUCUAGGUUGUGGGAAGGCAGAUGCUACCUUCAGCAUUAUGUCGAUCUGUUGCUGUGUGAACUUUGUCAGAUCGAUGGGUCCCCCCUGGGUGAGCGGGGGAGGUACUGCGUUGGCGUUUGGUCCCGCGUUGGGGACCGAGUUCCCGGAGGGGGAUAAGUCUUGCAGGAGUACGUCGUCUUCGACUACUCGGACGUUAGGGUUGGCAGGAUCGGGGUUUAGCAGGUUCGCGUUUUGCAUGUUUGGGCGAGGGUUUGCCAUGUUGCUGGUCUGACUUACUAUAAGUCCGGAUCGAGUUUGCAUAAAUUUGCCCGACUUCUAGGGAUGCGAUCAGGUUUCUCUUAGGGAGAAGUCCCCUUCCUGGCGCGCCAAAUGAUAACUCCAAAUCUCGUCUAGGGUUCCAAUGCACUAUUCCGGGAAGCUUCAGGCAAGACCUAACCUGCAAAACAACGCUACACGGGGGGUGACAUCCCGUGAGGCGCCUCCGGCGUGAUAAUCAGUGAUUUGGAUGUGCUUGACAAGUAAGGGAAAUCAGAGAGUUUUCACUCUAAGUAUCUGGCGAGAGAUGCUUUUUAGAGAGAGUUUUGAGGGAGAAAUUUGCACUUACCUUCCACUUUGGCUGGGGAGUCCUUUAUAUAGGCCCUUGGCCGCCACUGUUGCUACAGUGGCGGGAAUGGGUCUGUAGGCACUCCCCAGCAUGGGUGGCUGUUUUGGUGCAGCUACUGUCCUUUUUUCUGUCCUUUUGGGAUUCGUGCAUGCUUAUUAUCCUGUUUGCCUUGUACUUGGUAAUGAUGAGGUCUGACUUUGGGGAUCUUCAGGUCCUGUAGCGGGGGCGGGUACUGUUGGCGGUUACUGUAGCGUGGUACCUUAUCAGUAACUUACACUAAUUGUAAGCACUUAACCAUAACUAACCACAUUAAUCACCAACGCCAACUUAAUUAAUGAGACAGCAGACAGCAGUGCAGUGGAACCCAAGCUUGCUAGUUGAUAACACGUAGCUUUCAUUAGAAAAGAGUUUGUUAAAUAAUUACGUAAUUUCUUCCAACUUGCACAUAUAUGUGUACAUCAUAUGCGCCAUCGUUGUUCAGACAUGAGUUUCGUUCAUAAUAAUAAUAGGGCCCGACUAGUUUAUACAAGACAAUUUAAUCGAGAAUUAGGCGUAUUAUCGGAUUACAGAUUCUGUUUAACAAAAUUAACAUGCACAAGAAAUGAAUCAUAUAUCAUUUAUCCAAAUAUACAUCGUUUGAUUUAUUUAUACUUACUUCCAAGUCGUUAGAUCGUAUAGUUAUCUAUUUUUAUUUUUUUAAUAAAAAUAUAAUGAUAUUAUAAUUCAGAAAGAUAUUAUACUAUUAAAAAACAUAGAAAUAUAUGUAAAAAAAGUCAACGAAACAGGGAGAAUAUUAAACACAAUUAACACGUAUUAGAAAUGAUGGGUACAAUAACAGAAGAUAACAUGUUAAAAAUCAAUAAGAACAUGCGAUAAAACCUGCAUGAUCAUGUAAAUUUUCGAAAUUCUAUAUUAGAAAGUUGCAUGAUAUCUACUUGGUAGAUAUCACGGAAUUAGGAACAACUGAACAAAGAUAUAUGAAGAUCGAGAACUACAUGUUAUUGUGAUAAAUUUAAGUAGCACGAGUAUCUGUAUUAACUUGAAAACUGAAGCUGCAUGCACAAAAAUCUCCUCCAAACGUUGCAACACGGCCUCGAAUUUACAAAAAGGCCACCAAGCUCAACAAUCCACAUAUCAGUAAAACUGGUAGCCUCACCAGCAAACCCCGGCUAGCCCCCGAAAAAUACGGAUCAACUGGAUAUAAAUUCCCCGGCGGGCCUGUUAUGUAAAUAUACGACGGCGGAGGAGGGCAAUUGAACCCCGGCAAGCUCGGGGUUGGUGGUUUUUUAGGCGGUGGAGGUGGUGACGGUGGUGGUGGAGAUGGAGGACUUUGAGUGCACGGGACAUUACAAACCGGACACCCCCCGCACUUAAUUUCCCCGUUCGGAUCGCCUACUGGUACCGUGCUUUCGUCGAGCUUCCUGGGAUUGCUCGACGCGUUUGUUGAAGCUGCAAGAACAAUGAUCACAAGAAAAAUUGGUAGUAUAGAAGCCAUGUUAUGUAUUUGCCUGUGAUCACCUAUCUAUUUAACAAGGACAAGAUUUUCGGUAAUAUGAUGAUCUCGAAAAGAGAAGAAAUCCCGAAGAAUUGAGUGCGCGGUUAGGAUGGGCACGGAAAGUGUAGAGGGCCAGAGGUGAGUUGAUUAAGCUUAAACAUGUAGAGAAUGAAAGUGAUAUGAUGGUUAAGUUGUGUAUAUAUAUGACUAGUAGUAGAAAUUUAUUUGGUAAUGGUAUGCUUAAUAUACAAGGGUCACCGUUACAUGUGAAUGGUCCAUAAUUUAGGCCAACCACAUGGCCUCAUGAGACUUUGUAUCUAAUUUCGGUUGAGUUUGCUUUAUAAAAUUUCUUAUUAUCCUUGAUUACAUGCAUGCUUUUUGCUACAUAUAUGCCUUGUUUUAUGACCGUGACGGAACCAGAAUUCUGUAAUAAUCAAAGAAAUAAUCUAGUAGAUUGUAAAUUUGGAGGUUGAUUGGGUUGAAAAUAAAAUAUUUAUUAAAUUUUAACUAAAAAUAUUGAAUUUAAAGAUUUAGUCGGGAUUUUAGCGUAGACUGAUCCUAGUUGGGCACCGGGGGUGUUUAGGGCAAUCUUGACCCUCCAUUGAUGUUCAUGUAAUAGCAAGGUGGAGGCAUAGAUGAGGCUGCCUUAAAGUUGGGAUUUUGCUUAAAAUAAAAACAUUGUGAUGUAUCUAUAUGAUGUGAAGAAAUUAUUGGAGGAUGAUGAUAGAAAAAAGAUGAUGGGAUUGUUAGGGGAAUCAUAUACUCUUAGCCCAGCUUUGCUAAUAUGACAAAGGAAAUACAGCUGUUUCUAUGUAAUGGUAUAUUUCUCAACAGCCUGCUCCUUGAGCAAAAUCUCCAACUUUGAAACUUUUAUUGUAAAAAAAGUUGACUGAAUGAUAUUUACAAUUAGCUCUGGAUGGCUCCAGAACUCUCAUAAAUCUCUGUUUAUUUUCGUCGAAAGCUAAAGCCGUCUCUCGUAUUGGCUUUAUUGAGCUUAAAGAGUCGAGCAGGUCUUAGUCUGGUGAUGAAUACUGAAAUUUAAGAAUUGUCAAACACAUUUAAAAAAGCAAGGGAAGAAAAAGCUAGAUUCCAAGUUGGCAACAGUAGGUGAGGGAGGCUAGAAACGAAGGAGAGGAGGAAGGGAAAAGGGAACAAAGAAGAGGAACUAAAUACGGGAAUUUAAAUGAGUGAAUAAGAAGGAUGCGUUUGCUUGGCUAGAAAGGCUCAAUAGUAGCACCGUCCCAUUUGCUACUAAGUACCAUCCAACAACUUCAACGACCUACUCCUCUUUCCUCCUUUGAAAAAAAAAAAAACGAGUAAUCUGUUACAGAAAUUUACAUACUCACACAACAAAUUUCCGAAAAUGCGAAAUCAAUAAUUGAACUCUUUAUUUUCCUAACGGAAGUAGGGAACAAGUGUAUGUACUCCGAUACUUAUAUGUUGAGUGAGUAUCAACCGAAAUCUCACAUCAUAAAAAUUAAUAAGAUUUGUUUUUGAAGUCCAAAAAUUAAUCUGUACAGGCAGAUUCUCUGACAGACUAAUUAUUAGCUGUGAAGAAUCUCAGCACACUUCCUCUGUAAUUACAUGGAUGCUUAAGAUUGAUAAGUAAAAAACUAAAAGGGCUUGGAACUUAACUCUCAAGCCUGUCUCUCCUGCAGUGUUCCAAAAUUUUGUGUCCAUUUAACUAAUACUAUUGCUCUGAUUUGAUCUACUACUAUCUAUUCUGCUGCAGUUUUCCUUUGAAAUUUCUAUUUGCUCAAAAUCUACCACACUAAAGAAACCUAAUUUUCAGUUUCAAUCACCUUCCCCGCAGAAUGAAGUGAUGAGUUUUUUGGAAACUUAAAUUUUAUUUAAAAUUAUGGAUUUGGACAUAGGACAUGUUUCAAGAAUUGAGAUAUUUGGAUUUGACCAAAUUCAAAGUAAUUAAAGUUGAAGCCUAAAUUUGAUAAUUUGGAAUGAUAAUUCAAUUUAUAUAUUUCAAAAUCCAUCAUUCAAAAUUAUUUAUAUGUUCUUAAACAAAAUUGGCAUUAAUUUGAUGGAUUCGCGGCAUCCAGCUGGUCUGAGAGACCACCAUGCUACCUACUGUCGAAACUCACAGGAAAAAUACCAUACAGAAAGCAAACACUAAAUACUUGAUAAUCAGACCUGAUGGUAUAACUAAUAACGUAAUGGCAGGGGUUUAUCCCGUGUCGUCCCUGGUCAUGGAUUGGACUCUCACAUACCCGAGGUUUAGAAUAUAACUAAUUUGUAAGACAUACAAGCCUAAUCAUUCAGAAAAGGACUCGCUAAUUGUAAAUGGUAGAAUCUUGCGGGAUGAAGUUCAUCAAAGACUGCACAAACAAAAGUCUUACCUUGCAGGAUGAAGUCCAUCAAUCUAAAUUCCUCGUCUUUCGAGUUCACCUUCACCUCUUACAUAACUGAAGGAGAACAAAAACCUCUGAACUCUGAAAUCUACCACCAUAUAUAAACCCCCAAUAUUUACAAAGCUGGAUUUUAGUUUUGCGGAUCCAUCAAACAAAUAAACAACUCUGUGAAAUCUAACAAAAUUAAGAUGCCAAAUCAAAGAAAUGACAACAAUUAUCCAAAUCUACAAUUGUUCGUAUUUCAUCAAACUCCUGUGUUAUUUACAUGAACAGAGGAAACAAUAACAAUUGUUCCCUCCGAAAACGAGAAAGAAAAAAUAGUUAUGAUGCCGAAAUCAAUAACAAAAACAAAUAUUCCUCGUGCACAAGAUAAAAAAAGGUAUCUACGGACAUAUCACAAAAUGGCCACUGCCAUAAGUAUCUUCGCCUUCGUGCAUUAGCUUCACCCUGUUAUGACAAGGCGAAGGGUCCGAGGGGGGCACCGGCCCCCUCGGCAGCUCAUUCGGGAUUGCACUGUAGAAUCCCAUAGCUUUUACUUUCAUCGAUGCCCCUGUCGAUGCUGCUGCUGCAAAUAUCGUGAAUAUCAGCAAUGCAGCCCUCAGCUUUUUCGUAUCGAACAACAUCAUCAAAAAUAUUGCAAAUGUCGCCUCUGUUACGCGAUCCACAGUGUAAACUGUAAACUGAGCAGAAUGAAUGUGGUAAGAACACGAAGAGAGAAAAUUAUGAAUGGAAGGAGGGAGUUGUUGAAAUGCAGCUGAAAUACUAUGGGUUUCGAGUUUCGACACACGAUAAAUGUACAAAUGGUAUUUUUGUGACUGACAGUGUAGGACUUUAAAAUAUAUGAGGUGUUUAAGUAUUAGUGAAAAACAUAUCGCAUUAGCAGCCAAUUUAGAAUUUAGGGAUUUACAUCAUUCUACAUGUGGGACUGUUCUAAUAGUUUACUCACCACUUCAGUUAACCUUUUGUCGUGGUUUGUUUGUUAUGCUUUGUUUGUUGCUAUUUUUUAAGAUUUUUAUAAACGAAAAAGGAGGGAGGACUCGAACUCAAAACCCCUCGAAAUAUAUCGAUAAUGGAGAGGAAGGACCGAAACUCGGAAUUUAGGGAGCACGGGUAAUAAUUGAGAGUGAAUGGACUCGGACAGAGAAAACAGGAACCGUCCUUGUACAAAUGAUCAAAUUGUCUCGUAAUUUUAAUAUUUGAAAAUUAUUGGAUGAUCGAGAGGAAGUAUUGAAAUUCGGAAUUCAGGAAACACGGCUAACAAAUGAGAGUGAAUGGACUCGAACAGAGAAAACAAGAACCGAAACUGUCCUCGCAUAAUUGAUCACAUUGUCUCGUAAUUUUAAUAUUCGAAAUUAUCUACCAAUUAUUGGCGAGUAAAGUCGUGUUUUAUGCUAUGGCUGUGAUUUUCACUCACUUCAAAUGGUUACUAGAAGUUUUAUCGUGUAUUUUAGUGGCACAGGAAACGAUAACUUUUAUGUAAUCGUAUGAAAAAGCCGCAAGCUGAAACACAUUGUUGUGAGUUUAAGCAUGGCUGGCCUGGCUGUCACGCUUGUGCGAUUAGUUGAAAUAUCACAUGAUUGGGUUGCCUUUUCUAAUGUGUUUCGCUUAUAAGCCAAAGCUUUUCGAUCUUUUUGGGACCCAAGUUUCCAAUUCGUGGAAGCUUUUGGUGCGAGCCAGGGCCAGAACGUAUCAGACUUUACCAGUGGGGGGGACAUUUUUGCCGUAGAUCGAACAGAUGCCAGUGUUUCUAGAACCGAAUAAGUAAGAGCUGCCUCCUCACUUAGAUUCUGUUUGGUUCUACUUAGGGGUGGCAAUAUCAGACACGACACGAACCCGACUCGAACCCGACCCGAACACGCAACCUGAUUUACUGAGACAAAACCCGAAAGUGACCCGAAAAUCACCCGAUUGACACGAAAUGGACCCGAAAUGAUCCGAAAUUAGAAUUUCGUUUCUAAUAACUUCGAUUUUCAGUUUUAUUUAAUUUCAAGUGAUUUUAGCUUGACCCAAAAUCGACCCGAUUGCUGACACGAACACGACCCGUUAUCCGAAUCGAGAAUAGCGGAGACUUUUAAAGAUUCGGGACUGGAAUGAGAAAUUAUAAACGAAAAAUAUAUGAUCACUGACAUCAGUCGAAACUUAAGAAAAUGUUCGAGAGAGUGGGUGAUUAUUCAAAACCAGUUGGAACUUUAAUUCUGCACUACGGAAAUAAGCUUAAAAUAAUAUGUAAAUCUAGCAUAGCAUAUAAAGUUGUAAUUUGCUUGUUCAUACAGCAUAAUUAAGAAUUCGUGUACAGUGCAAAGUCCAGAAUAUGCUUUGUAAUAAAGUCUAGCUUCUUCGCUUGAAUCUAUUUAAUGAGUUGUGAGUUUUAGAAUAAGGGUCCUCGUCCACGGAUGGCUGGAGGCGUGUUAGAAAAUAUACGACUUUGAGAUGGUUGGAUGAAUAUCCAACGAUCAAGAUUAUAAUAAAUUUUAAAUAUGUCAAAUAAUUCUUAACAGGUCAGGAAAAACGACCUCAUCUUGGACUUUUCUCUAGAGGUUAAAAAA